rnacentral:rRNA from 1 species
GACGAACGCUGGCGGCGUGCUUAACACAUGCAAGUCGAACGGAAAGGCCCUGCUCUUGUGGGGUGCUCGAUUGGCGAACGGGUGAGUAACACGUGAGUAACCUGCCCUUGACUUUCGGGUAACUUCAGGAAACUGGGGCUAAUACCGGGUAGGAGCUCCUGCAGCAUGGUGGGGGUUGGAAAGAUUCGGCGGUUGGGGAUGGACUCGCGGCUUAUCAGCUUGUUUGUGUGGUAGUGGCUUACCAAGGCUUUGAAGGGUAGCCGGCCUGAGAGGGUGACCGGCCACAUUGGGACUGAGAGACGGCCCAGACGCCUACGGGAGGCAGCAGUGGGGAAUAUUGCACAAUGGGCGGAAGCCUGAUGCAGCAACGCCGCGUGCGGGAUGACGGCCUUCGGGUUGUAAACCGCUUUCGCCUGUGACGAAGCGUGAGUGACGGUAAUGGGUAAAGAAGCACCGGCUAACUACGUG